rnacentral:rRNA from 1 species
ACGAAACGCUGGCGGCGUGCCUAAAACAUGCAAGUCGAACGAGAAAGUAGCAAUACUCAGUGGCGAACGGCCGGAGUAAUACAUAAGCAACGUGCCCUGAAGACUGGGAUAGCGGUCCGAAAGGACCAGUAAAUACCGGAUGUGGCCCGCUUGGGGACAUCUCAAGUGGAUAUUAAAUGGUUUUUUUCGCUUCAGGAGCGGCUUAUUGACCUAUCAGCUUGGGAUGGUGGCGAGGUAACGGCUCACCAAGGCCGACGACGGGUAGGGGGUCUGAGAGGGAUGAUCCCCCCGAGUGGGACUGAGACACGGCCCACACACCUACGGGUGGCAGCAGUUGGGAAUCUUGCACAAUGGGGGGAAACCCUGAUGCAGCGACGGCCCGCGUGGAGGAUGACGGAUCUAGGUCUGUAAACUCCUUUUUUCAUGGAAAGACUUAGGGACGGUACCAUGAGAAUAAGGACCGGCUAACUACGUGCCAGGCAGCCCGCGGGUAAGACGUAGGGGUCCAAGCGUUGUCCCGGAUUUACUGGGCGUAAAGAGCGCCGUAGGGCGGCUCGUUAAUAAGUGUGGUGUGAAAUCUCCAGGGCUCAACCCCGGAAACUGCACCGCAUACUGGCGAGCUUUGAGGGAAUGCAGAGGUAACUGGAAUUCCUGGUGUUGUAGCGGUGAAUAAAUGCGUUGGAUAUCAGGAGGAACACCCAUGGCGAAGGCAGGUUACUUGGGCAUUAUCUGACGCUUGAGGCGCGAAAAGCGUGGGUAGCAAAACAGGAAUUAGAUAACCCUGGUUAGUCCACGCCCCUAAAACGAUGGAUACUAGACGUAAGAGGUAUCGACCCCUCUUGUGUCGCAGCUAAACGCACUAAGUAUCCCGCCUGGGGGGUACGGCCGCAAGGUUGAAACUCAAAUGAAUUGAACGGGGACCCGCCACAAGCGGUGGAGCAUGUGGAUUAAUUCGAUACUAACCGAAGAAACCUUACCCAGGUUUGACAUUGAUGGUAAGCCCAAGAGAUUGGGCCCCUCCCCCACAAGGGGGACCUGAAAACAGAUGUUGCAUGGCUGUCGUCAGGCUCGUGCCGUGAGGUGUGCGGUUAAGUCCGUAAAACGAGCGCAACCCUCGUCCUAUGUUGCCAGCGGGGAAAGCCGGGGAACUCAUAGGAGACCGCCGGUUGUAAGCCGGAGGAAGGUGGGGAUGAUGUCAAGUCAGCAUGGCUCUUACGCCUGGGGCUUCACAACAUGCUACAAUGGACGCAACAAAAGGGCAAGCAAUACCGCGAGGUGGAGAGCCAACCCCAGAAAUACGUCCCCAGUUCAGAUUGCAGUCUGCAACUCGACUGCAUGAAGGCGGAAUCGCUAGUAAACGCAGGUCAGCUAUACUGCGUUGAAUACGUUCCCGGGUCUUGUACACACCGCCCGUUCAAGUCACCUGAAUUGUCUUCACCCGAAAGUCCGUGGCCUAACCGUAAGGAAGGAAGCGGCCGAAGGUGAGGGGGGUAAGGGGGACU